UUGAGGGGCGUUAGGUCGCCGUCCUCGGGGGAGGCUGGGGCCGGAUAUGAAGUGGGAAAAAUCAAGUUGCAACCAAGUGCUUUGUCAAAAGAAGGUGCCAUCUCAACAAUGGUCUGGCUUCCACUGACCCAAUGGCUGAAGACACCCUUGGCUUUCAUCUGAAUACAUUCUAGUUCAUCCAAUGUUGCAUCAUCAGGUUAACAGAGAUGGAGAUCUCCAGGAUUUGGAGACCAGUAACAAUGGGCACUAAAAUUCUGGACUAGAUUUGAGAAAGGUAGAUGGACUAUAAGGCAAUCGCCCAACAAUCUGCUGAACAAGUUUUAGCUUACAAUCAAGACCUGUCUGGCUGGAAAGUCGUUAAAACUUCAAAAAAGGUAACUGUUUCCAGCAAGGCCUCUAAACUAUUCCAAGGAAACCUAUACCGUAUUGAAGGAGUAAUUCCAGAAUUACCAGCUCACCUCUCUGAUUUCCUCUACAAAUCUGAACACAGAGUUUCAUGGGAUAAA
rnacentral:lncRNA from 1 species